AGGUUUUCCCCUUUCUGGUGAGUGAGGUUUGGUGUCAACGGGAUUAAGCUGUUGUUGGAGCUGAGGAAUCUGAUCAUUAUUCGUACACUUAGGACAUUGAUUCGAGACGGUGUCUCGACGAGGGAUCAAUUUCGGAUUGGACUUUUUGAUUGGAGGCGGGU